CAUAGCCUUAUUGUACUGUACAGUUAUUAUAUAAGGUAACUUCUGCCCAGUGAUGUUUAGUUUAACGGCUGCAGUACUCUGACUGUACUAAGGUAGCAUAAUAAAUUGACUAUUAAUUGUGGUCUGGGAUUAAUGGAUGAAACGGGGUUAAUCUGUCUCCUUGUUUAAUGCUUCGAACUUAGUUAUAAGGUGAAAAUACCUUAACAUGUAAAUAAAAGACGAGAAGACCCUUAAAGUUUUUAUAACUAGUACUUUUUUAUCUUAAUUUUUGUUGGGGUGACAAGUAAACAGUAAUAUAUAACUUUCCUACAAUAUUACACUACAUAAAAAGUUACUUUAUAGUGGGAAAACUACUUAAGGGAUAACAGCAUAAUCCUUUUUAGGGAUUAUGACCUCGAUGUUGGACUAGGGACCUAAUGAUAAGAAGUCAAAAUGGGAGGUUCUGUUCGAACUUUUAAAUCCUACGUGAUCUGA
rnacentral:rRNA from 1 species